rnacentral:rRNA from 1 species
AAACUUAGCGGCGAACGGGUGAGUAACACGUAAAGAACCUGCCUCAUAGACUGGGACAACUAUUGGAAACGAUAGCUAAUACCGGAUAACAGCAUUAACUGCAUGGUUGAUGUUUAAAAGUUGGUUUUGCUAACACUAUGAGAUGGCUUUGCGGUGCAUUAGCUAGUUGGUGGGGUAAAGGCCUACCAAGGCGACGAUGCAUAGCCGACCUGAGAGGGUGAUCGGCCACACUGGGACUGAGACACGGCCCAGACUCCUACGGGAGGCAGCAGUAGGGAAUCUUCCGCAAUGGGCGAAAGCCUGACGGAGCAACGCCGCGUGAGUGAAGAAGGAUUUCGGUUCGUAAAGCUCUGUUGUUAGGGAAGAAUGAUUGUGUAGUAACUAUACACAGUAGAGACGGUACCUAACCAGAAAGCCACGGCUAACUACGUGCC